rnacentral:rRNA from 1 species
AAUAGAUACCCUGGUAGUCCACCCCGUAAACGUUGGGAACUAGUUGUGGGGUCCUUUCCACGGAUUCCGUGACGCGGCUAACGCAUUAAAGUUCCCCGCCUGGGGAGUACGGCCGCAAGGCUAAAACUCAAAGGAAUUGACGGGGACCCGCACAAGCGGCGGAGCAUGCGGAUUAAUUCGAUGCAACGCGAAGAACCUUACCAAGGCUUGACAUACACCAGAACACCCUAGAAAUAGGGGACUCUUUGGACACUGGUGAACAGGUGGUGCAUGGUUGUCGUCAGCUCGUGUCGUGAGAUGUUGGGUUAAGUCCCGCAACGAGCGCAACCCUCGUUCUAUGUUGCCAGCACGUAAUGGUGGGAACUCAUGGGAUACUGCCGGGGUCAACUCGGAGGAAGGUGGGGAUGACGUCAAAUCAUCAUGCCCCUUAUGUCUUGGGCUUCACGCAUGCUACAAUGGCCGGUACAAAGGGCUGCAAUACCGUGAGGUGGAGCGAAUCCCAAAAAGCCGGUCCCAGUUCGGAUUGAGGUCUGCAACUCGACCUCAUG